UACGAAGGGGGCUAGCGUUGUCCGGAAUCAUUGGGCGUAAAGCGCGUGUAGGCGGUCCGGUAAGUCCGCUGUGAAAGUCGGGGGCUCAACCCUCGGAUGCCGGUGGAGUACUGUCGGGCUUGAGUACGGAAGAGGCGAGUGGAAUUCCUGGUGUAGCGGUGAAAUGCGCAGAUAGUCAAGGAGGAACACCAAGUUGCAGGCAG
rnacentral:rRNA from 1 species